AGCUUCUAUAGGUACAUGCCGAAAACCCAGUGGAUUCCCGUAACACUUCUAGUCAAGAUUAAUCAUCAACGGAGAGAUAAGAGUCUAGCAGACCUGGGACUGCUUUGGAGGAAGACCCAGUCAAGGUAGUUUAUCGUUAGAAUAUCAACACUCAGCUCCACUGUCCCCAUGUGAAGAGAGAAAGAUGAGAUGUGUCAGUGGCCAAACUGAGAGCGCUGUUCAUUUAUAUUUAAUGGAGCCCCUCUGUGGUGGUGGCCACAAACACUUCCUGCUGCAGUUAUGCAGGCCAGAUUAUGAAAAAGAGGUUUAACAUUGGCUUCUUUAGAGCUUAUUGGCCGUCAGUGCGCCUCCAAAGGGCCACAGAACCACGAUAAGUGUGGUAACUGUCAAACCAAAAAGGCUCACGUCUGUGAACUAAGCGACAAGUCUGGAAAGAAACUGGACACACAGUCCUCUGUCAUCUGUUCCAGAGAGCUGCUCUUGCUGCCCACUCACUGUAGACAAAGCAGCUUCUGUGUUUGAUUGAAAAUGAAGGAGACCAUUGCAGCUCUGUUAAAGACUCAGAACAUCUGAGUCAGUCAGUUCAGCACAGCUCAAUUUUAUACAUUCCAACUUUAAUUAUGCGUCUGUCAUGCUGACACACACAUCCACAUAUAUCAGGGAUUUCCCUGGGUCAAAAAUGGUCUGAGUAUAUAUUAGUGCUGUCAAUUGAUAAAACUAAUUAAUCGCACAUAUUUCAGUAAUUAAUCAUGAUUAAUCGCACCUUUACUUAAUACAAUUUUCUGUAAUAAUUUCACAUUUAAUCAAAAUCCCUGAUGUUGAAACAACAUAAAGGCAGUAUUUUAUCAAGAUUUGUUUAAUGGCAUGUUUUUAAUGAAUUAAGGCCAGUAUCACUGAUACUGCUUCUGAUUGUCUCUGAAAUUGAUUUUUUUAUUCUUCUCAAUUUUAGCUAUUAAUUAUAGCCAUUCAGCAUUAUAGUAUAAUUGAAAGCCAUCAAUUUUAACAUUCAGUAGGCUUUAAAAAUAUAACUUUAUUUAAAUGAAUUUAAAACAAUCUUCACAUAAACACCUUAUAAUAAAUGUCACAUUAUUAUAUGUGGGCUCAACACAAAGUAUUUUUUUUCUACAGAUUUUUACUUUCUUUGCUAAAAUGCACAAAAAAGUUAUUUUCAUUUUUGUGACCCAUGUAACCUUAUAAACGGAGGUUUUUAUUUUAGGUAGGUUUUUUUUAGGUAGCUCUAACAGGUAGGGAAUAUACAGAAAUUAUUUAAACGUUAUCAAACACUUCACAGUCUUCACUGCAUAAAUUAUAAAUUAUACAUAGAUUAAUCUUUAUUAAAGCUACAAAAUUUAUUCAGUCAAGAAGAGUGAGUGAUUUUCUUUUAUCUUUUGUUCUUUGAUUAACAUUAAUGACAGACAGCUGCAGGUUUGUUAGGCUGCUGUCACUUUAAGACCCGUGACACAUGAUGUGUAUCUGACACACAUUUUCUCACAACUCUUUAAAUUAAUUUAAGACUAUAACUCAUUUAAUAAUGUGCUUACGAGGAUACUCAACAAAACAGGCAUUACAUGGCUUGGGACUCAUUCACACCUACGGAUAAUUUAGCAUCUUCAAUUCACCUAUACUGCAUGUUUUUGGAUUGUGUUGGAAACCCAUGCAGACACGGGGAGAACAUACAAACUCCACACAGAAAGGACACCUGGCUCAGCUGGGACUCGAACCGGGGACCUUCUUGCUGUGAGGCAACAGUGCUACCUUCUGAGCCACUGUGACCCCAAAAGGCUGAAUCACCUAAAUUCACAAACCAUGAAGAAUGACAUGCGAUAUUAUUUGCAUGUAAAUGACAGUGCAUGGCCAAUUUAUAGCCAAAUCUGAAUAUCAAUAUGUUUCAACAUUGGAUUCAUAAAAACAAAAAAACUUGUCGUUGCACAUUGCAGCUUUAAUAAUUGCAGCUAUUGAUUUGAAAAGCUCCACAUCUUAUUAAACAAAUGUAUAACAGCUGUGAGUGAAAGCCUGUAUCAGUUGUUUUAUGUCCACUGAAUAUGUUUACAUAUUUAUCAUUUCUCUUCCUCACAGCUUCUGAAUAGAGAUUUUAAUUAUGCGUGGAACUUUGCUUGCAAUGUGUUUGACAACCUCAGAUUCACCUCAGAGUAAUUGUAUUCGGACCGUUUCAGAACUACGUAAACUCCAGUGACCUUUUAAGAAGGUAAUCACAGUUUCAGCAUUUCAUCAAAGUUAUUGAGUGUUCAAGCGCUAUUGUUCGAGUCUAUCAGUUUGGAGCUGUAAUGCUUCCAGUUCUAAUAAAUUUCUUAGAGCAGUUGAAAGAGAGAAAGGGAGGGGGAAAAUGGGCUUAUAAAUGAAUAAACCGUCUGCAACAGAUUAAUGUGGUAAUAAAAUAUGGGGUGUCUCAUCUUUACAGAGAAAUCCGAACAUUAGAUUCAGUUAGAUUCAUUAGAUUCAGAGCCAUUGUGUGCGCUCUCGCUGAGAUUAAACUUCUCUGUAAAAAAACAAAACAAAAAAAACUCCUGUAAUCCUCUGCAGAUGGAGAUGAGGUCUCUUUGACCUGGUCACUGUCAACAGUCUAGUCUAAUGGAGGCUGAUGUUGAUUCGAAACCAUAGACCAGUGGUUCUUAAACUUUUUAGAGUGGUGUAGCCCCAGAGGCAUUUAAUAUCUUUCUGCGUACCCUCUCUAUUUCACUUAGACUGCAGUCAUACAUUUUGCAUUAAGGGACAAUAUUUGUAUGAUUCGUAGCGCAAUAUCUAAGGCUGCAUACUCUGCAUGCAAAUUAUCAGAUGCAAUGUGGAUGCAGUCAGUUGUGACCACAAAAGAUGAGGUCAUUUAAUUGGAUGUAUUUGACCUUUUACAGCACUAACAUUUUCAUGUUUCAUGUUACCGUCUGGUUCAGCUCAGCUACCAAAUCUGACCUCAGAAGACUACAGAGGGUAGUCCGGUCUGCUGAGCGAAUCAUUGGUACAACCCU